rnacentral:snRNA from 15 species
AUCCUAGUGCACGGGUUUUACACGUAUCAGUGAGGAGACAUCCGAGAUCGUGUUUUUGCUAGUUGAAAACUACCAAAUUGACUACUUCAAGUAGGCCUACGGGCUCGCUUGGGAAUUUUUGAAACACUCUGUACAUCCAUGGAUGUAAAUGAUAUUUCUUAUCAUGCUCUGAAGU